GGACGUGGACUCCGCCUUCUGCCUGACGUAUACUAAUUUCCACCGGACGUGGACUCCGCCUUCUGCCUGACGUAUACUAAUUUCCACCGGACGUGGACUCCGCCUUCUGCCUGACGUAUACUAAUUUCCACCGGACGUGGACUCCGCCUUCUGCCUGACGUAUACUAAUUUCCACCGGACGUGGACUCCGCCUUCUGCCUGACGUAUACUAAUUUCCACCGGACGUGGACUCUGCCUUCUGCCUGACGUUUUAGUCAAGCUACAUGGAACACUCAGAACAGUUACAGAUGUGGAGAAUUUUACGGGUCAGUUUUGAUUAGCAUGGAAACCAAGAAACAACAGUCUUUGAGAGUUGUACCAUCGAAGGAGGCCUAAGGAACGGGGCACUCAGCACACUUGAAAACUACCAUUGUCACAGUGCCUCUAUAUUCCUGUCUCUGAAACGCUUUAUGAAGAGCUGGAAAAUAAGAGAUACACCAUUGACACUGCUUAUAAAACCUAGUAAAUAUCAUAUGUAAGUAUAUAUAUCAUAUAUAAGUAUAAAACCUAGUAAAUAUAUAUAAGUAACU